rnacentral:lncRNA from 1 species
AAUAAUAGAACCACCUCCCAAGGUAGUCCAACACUCGUCUAGUGAAACCCUGUCUCCUCGACCCUAAGGGUUUCCGUUAGAAAUAUCUCAAGCAUCAGAAGUGCAGGUUCAUUUCGCACGAGCUCGAGAUAGACACCCUAUAACAAAAAGAUACCGUAGACACGCAACCCAUCCGAUGACAUAGAAAGUCUCUAAAAGCCAAUUGACAGGGAACACGAAACCAAAGAUAACCCGAGCUUCCUAAGAACCAACCUGAAGGACUACACUACCAGUAUGAGAGAGAACGUUAGGAACUUCGGAAUGGCGAUCACGCCAGUGAUGAUCUUUCCAUAGAAGUACACUAUGUUCUAAGUACUGAAAAGCUCUACCUUUCCGAGAGCUUAGGACCAUCUGAGAAUCCUCAUGGAGAUUUGGUCCAACCCUCGUCAGACCACUACUACUUUCGGAUAUUCCACAAGUUUCACACCAGAUCAAUCCACUUCUUAGACUUGAUAUGUGUUUACCCGACGUCACUCUUCAUAUCACACUCAUCUGGAUAGAAACCAUUGAGAACCCUAACCUCGUAGAUACACCAGUCGGAACUCGCUAACUACAUGAGACGAAAUCCGCAUCUCGUAGGUGAAGGUUUGUUGGAAUGACAAACACAGACCAGAUUUCACUUGGGAAUGCAAGGACAAACCGAAUAGGAAGUACCCUCCUACCUCUAUCAUUCAUACCUACUUCCUUGCCUAGACCUGAAUUUCGGGACGAAAUUCCCUCUAACGGGGGGAUGAUGUGACAACCCAAAGUUUAUUCCGUCACAUUACCCCAUUACCGUUAACGGCAUAUUCCAUUUUAUAAAAGUUCCGUUAAUUAGAGGUUGCCAAAUAAAUAAAUGUUUUAUUUAUUUAUAUUUAUGUCGUUAUAGUCGUAAUAAGAUAAGUAGAAAAAAAUUACUUUACAUUUCCAUCUCAAUUUGGGAAAAAGUAAAAUUGUAUUACGACCACUAAAUUGGGUGCGACCCAAAGCCCCGUUUAACGACAGUAUCGGGUAGAUUCCCACUGAGCUCCAACUCCAACCCGUAUAUAAGGGGGAAUGGACUUCAUUCCACCCCUUUUCACUCUCUCUAUACUCUCUCUCAUAAAAGCCCGAUUUCGUCUCAAAUCUGCAACCAAACGCUUCCAAAUCGUAAGUCCCCUUACCCUAGCUUGUUCGACACACCGUGGAUUGUUGUUGUACCCCAAAAAUCGAACUUAGAAGCUGUUGAAAAGGAGUUUACGGCCUAAGAGCCUCCUUAGGCCGUAAACCCCUAAAAAGAGGCCAAAAUGACCCAAAUUUGUCCCUAAAAGCUUGGAAACUAAUUGAGGAUUUAGCCUAGGAAUGUUUGCACCUCAAAACCAUCAUUUUUGGGACAUAAAAGAGGGUUUACGGCCCAAGCACAUGCUUAGGCCGUAAACACCCUCUAAACUUGUAAAAUCAUGUCCAAAACACUCCCAAACCAUCCUUAGGCUUAAUACAUAAAUUACGGGCUUGUUAUUUCGGGUUUAGAACAUUUAUAAUCAAAGUUUAAAGGGGUGGAUGAAAGUUCACGGCCAAGCCAAGAGCUUACGGCCGUAAACUCCCAAGGAGUGGUCAUUUGGACCAUAAACUCCAAGGGAGUGCACUCUUGGAACCCCGAACACCCUAUAGCCUUGAAUAAUUACUAGGAUUGAAAUAAGGGCCUUAAAUUUCCAUAAAAACCAGAGGGUAGGAUUUUACGGCCGUGAAAUCCCACAGGGGUGGUUCAUGGGCCGUAAACUCCCAUAUGGUCCCUUUAAAAGCCCUAAACCCACUCAUACAAUUUAGAUUUGGACCUAGCAAAAUUCCUCGAUGAAGAUAAAGCCUUUAAGCAUCCUAGAACACCCUCACCAUGAGUUUACGGCCGUAAACUCAUGGGGAGUUGUCCCAGGGCCGAGAACUCUAUGUAUAGGUAUUACUCUUGAAGAGUAAACUCCAUUCCUAAGUCAUUCAAGCCCUUAAUUGUUACCCGGGACACCCCAAACAGUUAACCAAAGUGUUUUCCGCUCUUUAGGGUGCGUACACUUGUUUAAUUAGUAUUAUAUAUAUACUAAUUGUAUGUGAACAUAUGUUAUCAUAUGUUAAAUAGGUCACUAAGUGUGUCCAAGUCUUUACUUGACACCGAGCACCCAACCGGCACCUCCGUCGGAUCCGCUUACAUCAGGUGAGUUCAUACCCCUGAAUGAACCUUUUAAAUGUUUUUACAUGUUUUAUAGGGGGGAAUACAAUUUAAACAUGCCAGUUAUCAUAUCAAUCACAUGUGUUUGAUAACCCGCAUGCACAAGAAUUUACCACACUGUAAACUGUUUUACCAAGUAGGAUACUAUAAAUGGUUUUCCAAAAGGUUUUCACUGGUUCAAAACUCUUACUUAUACUGUUUUAUCAAAGUUCAUUUCAAACUGGUUUUUGAGAAGUUUCUAAGGAAUUUCUAAAGGUUUUCAAACUUAUUUUACCANCUUAUUUUACCAAAGUUGUGAUUUUCUCAAGUUUAAAGGUUUUCUUCCAUGUUUUGAUACUCCCUCUUAGUUUAAACUCCUACUUGAUAACGCUUUCACUUUGUGAUGCAUUUAUAACUGUUAUUGCCCCUAUUUCGCUUAUACUUGUAGUCGCUUAUGCCUAUUAGACGCUCUUACUUCACUUGUUGCCGUUUCCACUUCGUGAUAAACUUAUAUUUGGUAACGCUUAUACUUCACGAUUCGGUUAUUCCACACGAUUCGGUUAUUCACACUGUUUGGUUAUACAUAACGAUUCGGUUAUUCACACUGUUCGGUUAUACAUAACGAUUCGGUUAUUCACACUGUUCGGUUAUACAUCACGAUUCGGUUAUUCACACUGUUCGGUUAUACAUCACGAUUCGGUUAUUCACACUGUUCGCUUAUACAUCAUGAUUCGGUUAGUCACACUGUUCUCUUAUACUUCACAAUUUGGUUAUUCCACACGAUUUGGUUAUAUAUCACAAUUCGGUUANNNNNNNNNNNNNNNNNNNNNNNNNNNNNNNNNNNNNNNNNNNNNNNNNNNNNNNNNNNNNNNNNNNNNNNNNNNNNNNNNNNNNNNNNNNNNNNNNNNNAAACAUAAAGUCAAAAUACUAUAGGAGUAUUUUGGAACAGUAAAAAAUUCACACUAAUCCCAGAACUAUAUUCAGAAGAUAAGAACAAAACAAGAAAUUAAAAUACCAUAGGGGUAUUUUAGGAUACAUAGAUAACCCUGUGUGAAGAACUAAAAAGAUCCUUAUUGAUAUACCUACAACUAUAGAGGGUAUACUUCCAAGGUUAUAUAUAAUAAGGAUCCCAUAGGCUAAGAAUGUGUGGUUUCGCUCUACUUCCUUUUCCUUGUUUGGAUGUGGAUACCGAGUAGUAUCACAUAUUCGAAGGCCUGUCGGAUUUAAGUUAUAUAUGAUUUGUAUACCCUACGUAAUUGUAGCAGGACUCGAUAUGGAUCACUCAGUGAAAUGUUAAUAAUCUCUUAGGAUUCUUUAGACAUUUCCAUUCUCGCACGAACCCUGUAGCCAACCCUAUCCACUUCAGUGCUUGACAGAAGAGUUGAUNNNNNNNNNNNNNNNNNNNNNNNNNNNNNNNNNNNNNNNNNNNNNNNNNNNNNNNNNNNNNNNNNNNNNNNNNNNNNNNNNNNNNNNNNNNNNNNNNNNNNNNNNNNNNNNNNNNNNNNNNNNNNNNNNNNNNNNNNNNNNNNNNNNNNNNNNNNNNNNNNNNNNNNNNNNNNNNNNNNNNNNNNNNNNNNNNNNNNNNNNNNNNNNNNNNNNNNNNNNNNNNNNNNNNNNNNNNNNNNNNNNNNNNNNNGGUCCCAGUCAAAGAUACGAGGUAGACAGAGGGAGCCAGUACAUGGAACCCAAGAAGUGUCUUUUCCUCGUGUUCAUCAAGCUAAUACACCCAUAAAAUAAUACAAAUUUACUGAGUUAGUUGUUACACUACUCACGCUAUGUGUUAGGUAAAUCGUCGUUUCCUGAUGCCAGUAACACGAUUAGAGCGGAUCCCCGCACCUCUAUUGAAAGUAUUUAGCCAUAAGCCUUCAUGAGCCUCUCUUUCCGCAGUUUCAUUCCGAACUAUUCUCAAAUCUAUCCAGACCGGAAAGUGGAACCUUUCCCAGUAUAAAGGUAACGUAGUAGAAUCGACUCGCAUCUUAUGGCUCUUUCUGAUACUCGUACUCCUACCAUGUACACCAGGACUACAUCAUAGGGAUGUAGGUCGGCACUCAGACAACCAACAUCCGAGGCACGGGAAAGUUUAUGCCUAAUACAGUCAGGACAGAUAUGUCCAGGGCUAGCCAUCGUCUCUCAUUAUCUUGUAUUCCUUUCCGUGUAGGACAGAAGUGUAACCAGUCCACAAGCAAGAAACCUACUCUCUUAUUCGAUGAAGCUACGUUCCAAGCUGCGGUCUCGGCAGCCGUAGCAGCUGUCAUGGCUCACCUGAAUGCAAACAACGCUAAUGUCAGCAAGGGCCUUAUCGGGAUUUCUGAUCCUAGAAAUGGACAACAACAACCAACACCUGCAUACCCAGCCACCCAAGAACCUCAACCGAAUACACUAAAGAGAAAACUCAAGAUCGGGGAAGGAGGUACAUCGGCUCAAGGACCUUCCGAAGGUCAACGAGCUGAGACAGUCGAUACCCCUGUCAAUCCUUCCCUCCUGACUCCAAGACGGCCAUACUUAGGAAGCCUUACCCACUGCGGAAAGUGUAGCUACCAUCAUCAUGGUAUAUGUCGGGAACUCUUAUAUGCUAGGUGCAACAUGAAGGGGCAUACUGCUCGCGUAUGCAGAACUCCGGUGGAGCGUAUUGCAUCAAUCACCAAUGUGACGACCAAUCCAGUCUGCCGUCUAUGUGGUGAGAUUGGACACUUCAAAAGGGAUUGCCCAACUGAAGAAAACAACAAAGACACAAGAGGAGCCUAACUCUACUGCUUAGGGAGAAGCAUCAAGGAACCUGGUAGAUUUUUGGUACGCCCUUCGAUCUCAGGUGACUAAACCGGAAACAUUAAAAGACUAAUGCAAAUGUAAAUACUUCCCCAUUAAGGCGAAAGUCGCAGCAUUGUUAUAAAAUUUAAAAUUCAUCAGGUAAAACUAUAAUGGCUAAACAUAUACGUUACGGCCAUGUAUAGUUAAGAUGGAUAGACCUAGAGUGAUUGAAUGCCGCCUCAUUUCCUGUUCCUCGUUUGGUUGUGGAUUUAGGGCGGAGUCACUCAGUCAACAGUCCUCCCCACCUUAACUAUACAUGACUAGUAUAUGUUAGGCGAUUAUAGAAAUGCCUCGUGAGAAUCCAUUCAUGAAAAGGUACUCUACUCGGAAACACUUAGGACUCUCUAUAGUUCCGCGUCGACUCUAUUGGUCCAAGUAUCCACGACAGUGAUACACAGGACGAAACCUGAGACGCCUAGAACUUGUGUGCCUGUUCGGCGCAUGACUCUAUCGAUCCUCACUUUAUGUCAUGUCGAAGUAUGCCAAUAUCGACGACUCUAUUGAUCACGGUUUGACGUAGUGCAACCAUGUGUACAUCCCUAGUGCUGUGUAAAAAGAACUUUCUCCGUAGCCAUUUCGGCAAAUAAAGGUUCUCCCGAACCUAAACAUAAUACAAAUAAUCAAACCUAACACGAUCUGUCAGUCGUCCCUCUUAUCUCAAACCUUCUAAAGUACCCGAGAGAAGGGUACCACGCGCUGUUGACCAACCCCUUUUAGACAGAUGGAAACCGAAGAGAAAGACACUGCGAGAUACUCCAGAAGACGAUAACCAUCUGAAACAUACCUCGUAGAUUCCCCAGAAAGACCCUUCGCACCUCGCACAUCAGGUUCGUGAACCCUGUGCGUCCUCCCUACUCCCUGUUCCUCGUUGGGAUGUGGGUCUGGGGUGGAGUCGCACAACUGAACAUCCUGCCGACCUCAAUUAUAUACAGCUUACAUACACCAAGUAUUAGUGGUUAAGCCAAGUAUGAGCUCUAUCACGAACCUCAUAGUAAGACCCUUCAUCAUAUUCCAUAAAAUAGGAGUUGGAGUCAAGAGAACCAUUGCGGGUUGAGCUACUAUAAUGACUACAAAUCCGAAAUUUGUUGUCAUACCAGUUAAGCCAACACAGUAGCUAACACCCUCAGUUAGUAAAGAGAUUAAAGUUCCGAGUGAUGGGAACCUAUACUCACUAGAUUUGACCUAGACCAAGACAACUUAGAACCUUCGGAAGAGUAGUUGCAGUAGAUGCCCGCACUACUCAGUCACUUCGUCCACCCUGUUAUAGACUAGUAGUGCCCAAGAUCCUCCGCCCUCUCGCAUGGAGGAAGUCACCGUCGCCUUGUAGACGAUAGACUACAUUCUCCGAAGUAAACACUAGGAUACCGAGAACCACAAGAUAACCUCCGCAGCAAAGAAUACUCGAUCAAAGUGCGAAAGUAGUUGCAUUAAGCCUUAUAACCCAGAUCCCGAAGAGAUUGUAGACUUGACACCAGUCUAGGUGUUAGUCGAUGGGUUAUACAAGAGCAACCGCUUUCCGCACUAGAAUAAACCAAAGUCUUAGAGAUUCAUUGGACUACUAGGUGUUCCACGAAUACUAUCUCACGCAGAAAUAGUAGAACCACCUCCCGAGAUAGUCCAACACUCGUCUGGUGAAACCCUAUCUCCCCGACCCUAAGGGUUUCCAUACCUCAAGAUUUGUUAGUGCAGGUUCAUUUUGCACGAGCUUGAGAUAGACACUCUACAGCAAACAGAUACCAUAGACACGCAACCCAUCCGAUGAUCUAGAAAGCCUCUAAAAGCCAAUUGACAGGAAACGCGAAACCAAAGACAACCCGAUCUUCCUAAGAACCAACCUGAAGGACUACGCAUCCAGUACGAGUGAGAACGUUAGGAACUUUGGAAUGGCGAUCACGCCGGUGAUGAUCUUGCCGUAGAAGUACACUAUGUUCUAGGUACUGAAAAGUUCUACCCUUCCGAGAGCUUAGGACCAUCAGAGAAUCCUCGCGGAGAUUUGGUCCAACCCUCGUCGGACCACUACUACUUCCGGAUAUUCCACAAGUUUCACACCCGAUCGAUCCACUUCUUAGACUUGAUCAGUGUUGUCCGACGUCACUUUUGUAUCCCACUCGUCUUGAUAGAAACCAUUGAGAACCCUAACCUCGUAGAUACACCAGUCGGAACUCGCUAACUACACGAGAUGGAAAUCCGCAUCCUGUAGGUGAAGGUUUGUUGGAAUGACAAACACAGACCAGAGUUCACUUGGGAAUGCGGAGACAAACCGAAUAGGAAGUCCCCUCCUGCCUCUAUCAUUCAUACCUAAUUCGUUGCCUAGACCUGAAUUUCGGGACGAAAUUCCCUCUAACGGGGGGAUGAUGUGACAACCCAAAGUUUAUUCCGUCACAUUACCCCGUUACCG